rnacentral:tRNA from 1 species
GGCGAUAUAGUUCAAUGGCUAGAAUUAGUAGCUGUCUCCUACAGGAAAAGAGUUCGAUCCUCUUUAUCGCCGCCA